rnacentral:rRNA from 1 species
GCUACUUGCUGACGAGCGGCGGACGGGUGAGUAAUGCUUGGGAACAUGCCUUGAGGUGGGGGACAACAGUUGGAAACGACUGCUAAUACCGCAUAAUGUCUACGGACCAAAGGGGGCUUCGGCUCUCGCCUUUAGAUUGGCCCAAGUGGGAUUAGCUAGUUGGUGAGGUAAUGGCUCACCAAGGCGACGAUCCCUAGCUGGUUUGAGAGGAUGAUCAGCCACACUGGGACUGAGACACGGCCCAGACUCCUACGGGAGGCAGCAGUGGGGAAUAUUGCACAAUGGGCGCAAGCCUGAUGCAGCCAUGCCGCGUGUGUGAAGAAGGCCUUCGGGUUGUAAAGCACUUUCAGUCAGGAGGAAAGGUUAGUAGUUAAUACCUGCUAGCUGUGACGUUACUGACAGAAGAAGCACCGGCUAACUCCGUGCCAGCAGCCGCGGUAAUACGGAGGGUGCGAGCGUUAAUCGGAAUUACUGGGCGUAAAGCGUACGCAGGCGGUUUGUUAAGCGAGAUGUGAAAGCCCCGGGCUCAACCUGGGAAUUGCAUUUCGAACUGGCAAACUAGAGUGUGAUAGAGGGUGGUAGAAUUUCAGGUGUAGCGGUGAAAUGCGUAGAGAUCUGAAGGAAUACCGAUGGCGAAGGCAGCCACCUGGGUCAACACUGACGCUCAUGUACGAAAGCGUGGGGAGCAAACGGGAUUAGAUACCCCGGUAGUCCACGCCGUAAACGAUGUCUACUAGAAGCUCGGAGCCUCGGUUCUGUUUUU